GAGUGAGAUAGAGGCAAGUGGAAUUCCAUGUGUAGCGGUAAAAUGCGUAAAUAUAUGGAGGAACACCAGAGGCGUAGGCGGCUUGCUGGGUCUUUACUGACGCUGAGGCACGAAAGCGUGGGGAGCAAACAGGAUUAGAUACCCUGGUAGUCCACGCCGUAAACGAUGAGUACUAAGUGUCGGGAUUACUCGGUACUGAAGUUAACACAUUAAGUACUCCGCCUGAGUAGUACGUACGCAAGUAUGAAACUUAAAGGAAUUGACGGGACUCCGCACAAGCGGUGGAUCAUGUUGUUUAAUUCGAAGAUACA
rnacentral:rRNA from 1 species